AAGACCUUGCGCUUUUGGAGCGGCCGAUGCCUGAUUAGCUAGUUGGUGGGGUAAUGGCCUACCAAAGCUUCGAUCAGUAGCUGGUCUGAGAGGACGGCCAGCCACACUGGGACUGAGACACGGCCCAAACUCCUACGGGAGGCAGCAGUGGGGAAUUUUGGACAAUGGGCGCAAGCCUGAUCCAGCCAUGCCGCGUGAGUGAAGAGGGCCUUCGGGUUGUAAAGCUCUUUCAGCCGGGAAGAAAAGGUUGCGAUUAAUAAUCGCAAUUUAUGACGGUACCGGAAGAAGAAGCACCGGCUAACUACGUGCCAGCAGCCGCGGUAAUACGUAGGGUGCGAGCGUUAAUCGGAAUUACUGGGCGUAAAGGGUGCGCAGGCGGUUUUGUAAGUCAGAUGUGAAAUCCCCGGGCUUAACCUGGGAACU
rnacentral:rRNA from 1 species